rfam:Otolemur garnettii contig090984, whole genome shotgun sequence.
UCUCAAAAUUAUAUUUUUUCUAUAAAAAGAAAAAAAUGGAAAAAAUACA